ACUUCCUUAUCAUAUUAAAAUCUCUGCCCAGUAGGGAGAGAUGCCCUUUGCUAGGCACAUAUAGUGAGUACCCAGUGCAAAAGAAAGAACAAGACUGCACACAUUCCAGUUUUCUCUGGAAAGCUCCACCUCUUUCCAGGAAUUCCCACCCUUAAUCUCUACCUACCUGCUCUGAGAGACCUUAAAAAUGUCCUUUCUCCAUACCUCUGGGGAGAACGUGAAUGGGACACUCUCCUUCUCUACUCCUUGAACAACAAAUAAAGUUUCUGCUCUGCUUAACAGAACCUUGUCGCUUUCUAUUGGCUCAAUGGCAAGCGGCAGUAAAGGACCCAUUGAGGCAGGAUCUCACUCUGUUAACCAAGCUGAAUGCAGUGGUGCAAACAGGGUUCUUUGCACCAUGAACUACACGGGCUCAAGCAAUUCCUCCACCUCCGCCUCUCUAAUAGUUGGAACAACAGGCACGUGCCACCAUGCCAGGCUAUUUUUUUAUUUUUUUAUUUAUUGUAGAGAUAGGUCUUACCUGUUGAGCAGGCCUAUCUCCAGUUCCUGGGCUCAAGUGAUCCUCCUGCCUUGGCCUCUCAGAAUGCUAGGAUUAGAGGCGUAAGUCACUGUGCCUGGCUGUUUGUAAAAUUUAUUUCAAUAUAUGUUGUUUCUAUAGCAUCAUUUGUUCAAAUACAUAAAUGGAGUAAUCUUUUCUUUCAGCCUAUCUUGUAGCCUGGGUGCCAGAGCAAGACUCCAUCCAAAAAAAAAAACUAGAAAGAAAAUUUAAUAUAUUUGAAGAGAUUAUCUGCAUUUUUAUGUUUAUCACAGUACUAUUCACAAUAGCCAAGAUAUAUGGAAUCAACUUAAGUGUCCACCAGUGGAUGAAUGAAUAAAGAAAAUGUGUGUGUAUGUGUAUACAUAUAUAUGCAUAUGUAUAUGCAUAUACAUAUAUAUGCAUACGUGUACACACACACACAAUGGAAUAUUAUUCAACCGUUAAAAAGAAUGAAAUCCUGUCAUUUGCAGCAACAUGGAUGGAACAGGAAGUCAUUAUUUUAAAUGACAUAAGCCAGGUAAAGAGAGAGAAAUGUUACAUGUUCUUUGAGAGCUAAAAAAAUGAAUCUCAUGAAAAUAGAGAGUAGAUUGGUG
rnacentral:lncRNA from 1 species